CCCCCCAUCCUAUCUCCUAAAGUUCAAACAAAUGACUCAAAACUCAUUGGCCGGCGGUUCAUUCUACAGCAAGACAGUGAUUCCAAACAUACUGCUAAAGCAACAAAGGA